AUACGGCCCAGACUCCUACGGGAGGCAGCAGUGGGGAAUUUUGCGCAAUGGGGGGAACCCUGACGCAGCAACGCCGCGUGCGGGACGAAGGCCUUCGGGUUGUAAACCGCUUUCAGCAGGGAAGAAGUUGACGGUACCUGCAGAAGAAGCCCCGGCUAACUACGUGCCAGCAGCCGCGGUAAUACGUAGGGGGCGAGCGUUAUCCGGAUUCAUUGGGCGUAAAGCGCGCGUAGGCGGCCCGUCAAGCGGAACCUCUAACCCGAGGGCUCAACCCCCGGUCGGGUUCCGAACUGGCAGGCUCGAGUUUGGUAGAGGAAGAUGGAAUUCCCGGUGUAGCGGUGGAAUGCGCAGAUAUCGGGAAGAACACCGAUGGCGAAGGCAGUCUUCUGGGCCAUCAACUGACGCUGAGGCGCGAAAGCUGGGGGAGCGAACAGGAUUAGAUACCCUGGUAGUCCCAGCCGUAAACGAUGGGCGCUAGGUGUGGGGGGGUCAUCCCUCCGUGCCGCAGCCAACGCAUUAAGCGCCCCGCCUGGGGAGUACGGCCGCAAGGCUAAAACUCAAAGGAAUUGACGGGGGCCCGCACAAGCAGCGGAGCAUGUGGCUUAAUUCGAAGCAACGCGAAGAACCUUACCAGGGCUUGACAUGCUAGUGAAGCCGGGGAAACCCGGUGGCCGAGAGGAGCUAGCGCAGGUGGUGCAUGGCUGUCGUCAGCUCGUGUCGUGAGAUGUUGGGUUAAGUCCCGCAACGAGCGCAACCCCCGCCGCGUGUUGCCAUCGGGUGAUGCCGGGAACCCACGCGGGACCGCCGCCGUCAAGGCGGAGGAGGG
rnacentral:rRNA from 1 species